rnacentral:rRNA from 1 species
GACGAACGCUGGCGGCGUGCUUAACACAUGCAAGUCGUACGGUAAGGCCCUUUCGGGGGUACACGAGUGGCGAACGGGUGAGUAACACGUGCGUAACCUGCCCACAACUUUGGGAUAACGCUAGGAAACUGGUGCUAAUACUGGAUAUGUGCUCCUUCUGCAUGGUGGGGGUUGGAAAGCUCCGGCGGUUGUGGAUGGACUCGCUGGCUAUCUGCUUGUUGGUGGGGUAGUGGCCUACCAAGGCGGCGUCGGGUAGCCGGCCUGGGGGGGUGACCGGCCACAUUGGGACUGAGAUACGGCCCAGACUCCUACGGGAGGGAACAGUGGGGAAUAUUGCACAAUGGGCGCAAGCCUGAUGCAGCAACGCCGCGGGCGGGAUGACGGCCUUCGGGUUGUAAACCGCUUUCAGCAGGGACGAAGCUUUUUGUGACGGUACCUGCAGAAGAAGCACCGGCUAACUACGUG